UACGUAGGGAGCAAGCGUUGUCCGGAAUCAUUGGGCGUAAAGCGCGCGUAGGCGGCCCUGUAAGUCCGUUGUGAAAGUCAAAGGCUCAACCUUUGAAAGCCGAUGGAUACUGCAGGGCUAGAGUCCGGAAGAGGCGAGUGGAAUUCCUGGUGUAGCGGUGGAAUGCGCAGAUAGUCAGGAGGAACACCAAUAGCGAAGGCAGCUCGCUGGGACGGUACUGACGCUAAGGCGCGAAAGCGUGGGAGCGAACGAGG
rnacentral:rRNA from 1 species